rnacentral:rRNA from 1 species
GGUAGCUAAAUGCGGAAGAGAUAAGUGCUGAAAGCAUCUAAGCACGAAACUUGCCCCGAGAUGAGUUCUCCCUGACUCCUUGAGGGUCCUGAAGGAACGUUGAAGACGACGACGUUGAUAGGCCGGGUGUGUAAGCGCAGCGAUGCGUUGAGCUAACCGGUACUAAUGAACCGUGAGGCUUAACCUUACAACGCCGAAG